rnacentral:rRNA from 1 species
AUAUGCCUUUGAGUGGGGGACAACAGUUGGAAACGACUGCUAAUACCGCAUAACGUCUACGGACCAAAGGGGGGGCUCUUCGGACCUCUCGCUCAUAGAUUAGCCCAAGUGAGAUUAGCUAGUAGGUAAGGUAAAGGCUUACCUAGGCGACGAUCUCUAGCUGGUUUGAGAGGAUGAUCAGCCACACUGGGACUGAGACACGGCCCAGACUCCUACGGGAGGCAGCAGUGGGGAAUAUUGCACAAUGGGGGAAACCCUGAUGCAGCCAUGCCGCGUGUGUGAAGAAGGCCUUCGGGUUGUAAAGCACUUUCAGUUGUGAGGAAAGGGAUGUAGUUAAUAACUGCAUUCUGUGACGUUAGCGACAGAAGAAGGACCGGCUAACUCCGUGCCAGCAGCCGCGGUAAUACGGAGGGUCCGAGCGUUAAUCGGAAUUACUGGGCGUAAAGCGUGCGUAGGCGGUUUAUUAAGCGAGAUGUGAAAUCCCGGGGCUCAACCUCGGAACUGCAUUUCGAACUGGUAAACUAGAGUAUUGUAGAGGGUGGUGGAAUUUCCAGUGUAGCGGUGAAAUGCGUAGAGAUUGGAAGGAACAUCAGUGGCGAAGGCGGCCACCUGGACAAAUACUGACGCUGAGGUACGAAAGCGUGGGGAGCAAACAG